AACGAACGCUGGCGGCAGGCCUAACACAUGCAAGUCGAGCGAGCAUUUCGGUGCUAGCGGCGGACGGGUGAGUAACGCGUGGGAACGUGCCCUUUUCUGCGGAAUAGUCCUGGGAAACUGGGGGUAAUACCGCAUACGCCCUUUUGGGAAAAGAUUUAUCGGAGAAGGAUCGGCCCGCGUUGGAUUAGGUAGUUGGUGGGGUAAUGGCCCACCAAGCCGACGAUCCAUAGCUGGUUUGAGAGGAUGAUCAGCCACACUGGGACUGAGACACGGCCCAGACUCCUACGGGAGGCAGCAGUGGGGAAUCUUAGACAAUGGGGGUAACCCUGAUCUAGCCAUGCCGCGUGAGUGAUGAAGGCCUUAGGGUUGUAAAGCUCUUUCAGCUGGGAAGAUAAUGACGGUACCAGCAGAAGAAGCCCCGGCUAACUCCGUG
rnacentral:rRNA from 1 species